ensembl:lncRNA
CACCGUUGAGUUGUCUGAAGCCAAUCUCCCCUGGAAAUUGACAAAACGUGUCGUUUUCCAAGAGUUUCUGGUUCUCUGAGAUCCAGUUUGGAGGUAUUCAGCUCCCAACUCAGCCUGGAUAAUCUGGUUCUCAUUUGCGGGGCCAGCGUGGUCCUGCAAGAAGAGGGCUCCUUGCAGCUGAUUCAGUUUGGGGUUUGAAAAUGGGCUCCAUGGCCGUGACUCGGGAACUGACUUCUCUUCAAAAGUGGGUGAGGACAUAAGGAUGAGAGAGUUUAUGCAAAGCCGCUACAACUUACGGCUCUUCUCUCCCAGAUUCUCUGCGCUGUCCCUUCUCAGAGCAGCCUGACUUCUGGCCCAGCGAACAUGCACUGUGCAUCCGCUUCAAACAUUUUCCCGAAGCAAAGAAUGCCCUCUUUAAAGAGAGGGAUGGGUGUCUCCUUUUCUCUGACGCCAAUACCAUCACUUCUUUGAAGAUGAGUUUUCUUCUCAGAGAACCAAGGUCAAGUUGACCUGCUGUGUAUGUGCUAAACUUCGGCAAAACAUCUCCUUGUGACUUGGGGAAAAUAAUUGCAUUCCUGUCAUGCCUGACAUAUCUUCUUCGUUCUGAAAUGGUAUAUAACCAUGCUGUCAACCACACUUCUCUGGGGUGCUUUCUGCCCUGGUGGCGAUGGCACUUCCGGGCUUGUCCUCAACAUUAGCUCAUUAAAUAUCUUUCUUAUCUAUAGAUUGGUUAUUGAUGCACCAACAAUUGUUUUUACAUCAUUUUUUUAACGGCUGCCUAGAUUCUACUGAAUGGGCCUACCAUAAUUUUUAAGCAGUCUCUUAUUGCUAGACAUUUUGGUUGUUUCCAAUUUUUUACUAUUAUAAACGACACCGCUCUUCCCACUAACCUGCAUUGCAUCUCUUUAUGCUAAUUUUCUAAAAGUGGAAUAGGUCAGUUACGGAAUAUUAACUUUAAAAAGUCUUUUGAUACCUUUUGGGUAUUGGAUAUUAUUUUUUUAAACUUUUUAUUAUUUAAAAACAACAAACAUUUAUUGAUUAAAAAAAAAAAUCUCCCAUGAACCAAUCACCCAUCCCCUCAGACCGACUAGUCUAUUCUACCUCCCACCCACUUCCACUUCUUCUGUGUUAUUUUGAUGUAAAUCUUUUCAUCCGUAAAGAUUUCAGGAUUUAAAGAGAGGCUCUCUUUGGACAAGAAAUUCACCAUAUCUCCUCUCGGUUCUUCUAGAUAGCGGCAAUGGAAAGUUACCCACCAAUGCUGUUGGGAAGCAUUCCUCUUGGAGGCCGCUCAGGGGCAAAUAUCUAAUCAGAAUCCAUGUGCCCCUUCUCUGGAGCUCUAUUCUUGUUUUGCAGACAGGAAAAAACCACAUGGAUGACUCAGCCAGCCCCAGGGCUCUUUUGUCCACUGCAGGAUCCCCACAGACCCGAAAACUUUGCUUCGCCCAUCACUUUUCACUUAUUUUUUAUUCAUCCCAAAGGCAGGCAGGAAAUUGUUGUCAGUCUGUGAAUCAUGCAGGAAUCUUUCCUCUGCCCUCUCCCAUUUGGAUGUUGCUUCCUUGAACAAUACCCAAGUUGAUGGGCAUUUCCCCCCCACAAUCUCAUCUUGAUGGGCUCAUCUGGCUGGUGGGGAGCUCCAUCUAUUUCACAGCAGAGCCCCUGAGACUCAGGGAGGGAAAGAGAAUUGCUCAAGGUCUCUCAGCCCGUAAGUGGGAGAACCAGGGUGUGAGUCCCGCUUUGUGGGCUCUUUCCACUAACCCACGUUGCCUCUCAAAAAUGGUUACUCCCUGGGGAACUGCUCUCAGUAGCCAUCAGGAUGGAAAAUGAUCUCAAGCACAGUCCUCAGGAGGGUAAAUGGCUGAGUAAUGGACCUCAUAUUGGUGUUCAGGGCCUGCCCCGGAAAUCUCCCAGGCCAGUUUCUGAAAAAUCCUCCUGCUCCUGACAGGCUCCCAGUCUCCAUCCUUAGCUGGCUUCACCCCAGGGGUCCCGGGCACUGAUGGGGUGGGGCAGCCACCCUGGGCUUCACAGCCGGCUCUCCUCCUCACUCACACAGUACCAAUUCUUGCCAAGAUGGCUGCUAAUCCUCAGGAGCUGAGAAGCCGGUGUCGGGGAGGAAGACUUCUCCUCUACCUAAUGUGGGUUCGUCUGGCCGGAGAACGAAUUAAAUUCACAUGAUACAGAAUAGCAGGGGAAAAUUAAACAAAGCUUUAUAACAUGUCUACAUGGGAGAGGUCAGG